rnacentral:rRNA from 1 species
CUAGCUUGCUAAUAAUUCUCUAGUGGCGCACGGGUGAGUAACACGUGAGUACCUGCCCCCAAGAGUGGGAUAGCCCCGGGAAACUGGGAUUAAUACCGCAUAAAGCAAUAAAGCAGCAAUGCGCUUGGGGAUGGGCUCGCGUCCUAUUAGUUAGUUGGUGAGGUAACGGCUCACCAAGGCGAUGACGGGUAGCCGGUCUGAGAGGAUGUCCGGCCACACUGGAACUGAGACACGGUCCAGACACCUACGGGUGGCAGCAGUCGAGAAUCAUUCACAAUGGGGGAAACCCUGAUGGUGCGACGCCGCGUGGGGGAUAAGGUCUUCGGAUUGUAAACCCCUGUCAUGUGGGACAUUAAAAGAUAGUACCACAAGAGGAAGAGACGGCUAACUCUGUGCCAGCAGCCGCGGUAAUACAGAGGUCUCAAGCGUUGUUCGGAAUCACUGGGCGUAAAGCGUGCGUAGGCGGUUUCGUAAGUCGUGUGUGAAAGGCGGGGGCUCAACCCCCGGACUGCACAUGAUACUGCGAGACUAGAGUAAUGGAGGGGGAACCGGAAUUCUCGGUGUAGCAGUGAAAUGCGUAGAUAUCGAGAGGAACACUCGUGGCGAAGGCGGGUCCCUGGACAUUAACUGACGCUGAGGCACGAAGGCCAGGGGAGCGAAAG